rnacentral:rRNA from 1 species
UCUGGAAUCCUGGAGAGAUUUGGGAGUGCCCGAAAGGGAGCCGGAACACAGGUGCUGCAUGGCUGUCGUCAGCUCGUGUCGUGAGAUGUUGGGUUAAGUCCCGCAACGAGCGCAACCCUUGUCGUUAAUUGCCAUCAUUUAGUUGGGCACUUUAACGAGACUGCCGGUGACAAACCGGAGGAAGGUGGGGAUGACGUCAAGUCCUCAUGGCCCUUAUGGGUAGGGCUUCACACGUCAUACAAUGGUCGGUACAGAGGGUUGCCAAGCCGCGAGGUGGAGCCAAUCCCAGAAAGCCGAUCGUAGUCCGGAUCGUAGUCUGCAACUCGACUGCGUGAAGUCGGAAUCGCUAGUAAUCGCGGAUCAGCAUGUCGCGGUGAAUACGUUCCCGGGUCUUGUACACACCGCCCGUCACACCAUGGGAGCGGGUUCCGCCAGAAGUAGGUAGCCUAACCGCAAGGGGGGCGCUUACCACGGCGGGGUUCGUGACUGGGGUGAAGUCGUAACAAGGUAGCCGUAGGGGAACCUGCGGCUGGAUCACCUCCUUUCUG